CACUACAGCUGCAGGGAUGCCACAGGAUGGGGAUAGUGAACUGGGGGAGCCAGGCAGCAGAGCAGGGGACCCCAGUGCUGAUGCCCAUGCUACAAACCAACACAUGGCACUGAGGCUGUGCAGUAGGGGUGGGGUCUAGCAGUGGGGUUGGGACAACUGUCCUUCUGUCCUUUGUUCUUGAGUCAGGACCAACCAGGUCGGUUUGGUUGUUAUGUCCACCUGGGACAGGGCUUUCCUCCUUGCAGCCAACACAGCUGCAUCUGCUAACGAGGGCAGAGGGCCUUAAUGAGCAGCCCCACAAUAGGGAAGUGCUGUGCUCGCCUCUUAUUCUGUGGCUGAGUGCUAUGACACAGGGCUGUGCGCCCUCCUGCUCCAUGGUGUGCAGAUUUCUACAGAAGCACAUCCUGUGCUGCUGAAUGAGGCUGUAGGAGCAGCAGGACUGUGCUCGCUUCUGUGUCCUGCACUGCUGUUGCAGUGUGUUGCCAGGAGCUGUGGCUGCUGACACUCAGCUGGCACGUCCCUACCAGCACUCAGGUCCUGCGAGCUGGGGAGCACCUAUGGAUGCUGGCUGUGGGGCCAGGCCAUGCUGAGGGUCACAAGGAGGCAGCGAUUCUGUGCCUGGCCUGCUGCAAUGAGAGCUGGAAGUGAAUGCGAGGUGACUGCUGCUGGGGUCUGGAAUUGGAACAGUGGCUGUGGCUGCACGGCUCUCCCACUGCUGGCGAUCCCGUGAGGGUUUAUGUAAUGCCUCUGUCCUUGCACUGGGGCCGCUUGGCUUUGUGCUGCAGCUGAGGAUGCUCUCCCCACCGUGGGUGCGCAAGCUGGGCUCUCACCACUGCCGCUUCUCUCUCUGCUCUCUGUCCUCAAGAUGUGAAACAUGCAAAAAUGGUGAGAGCAGAAAGGGAAACCCCAGAGCAGCUGACACAGCUCUGGGCACUGGGAAGCCCCCCAUUCACCCCCUGUGUCACUGGGGCAGGACAGGGAUACUUGACGGGGGCAGCACGAGCCCCACAGCACUGCUGCAGGCACAUGGCCCCAGGUAACAGAGCAGAACCCCACUGCAGCCCUGUGACUGUGAGCAACGGGAGGCACUUCCAAAGGCUGAUGGUGUCCUAAGGAAGAAUACAGUGUGUGGGGGUGUCUGCAUGGACAAUUUGAAGUGAGAGCUUUUAAAACUCUGCUUACAUCCCCUCGGAGCUGAGGCCAGCAGGAGCCACCCUCAGGGUCACAGGCACCUGGAGCCCUUCCCUGUGCUGGGUUUCCUGGCAUGGCGCGGAAUGAGACAGCAUCCGCAUAGCACGCAGGGGCUGCUGAGACACCUUUAUUUCUCAUUAGAGCUCCGCUCUUCCUCCACCUGCUUCCUGUGGGGGAUUUAGGUUCCUAAGAAAUGCACUGAGAAAAUGAGAAAAUUCGCUGUCAGCUUCAUUGGAACUGCUCAGAGGGAGCUGAUCUGGGCACAGCUGGAGCGGUGUCUCUAUGCCGUAGGGGUUGGUCAGGACCUUGUCUGCCUCCUGUGUGCAAGAUCCUUUGGGGAGCACUGAGCCGCAGCGCAGGGAGGUGUAGGGCUGCACUGCUGGCUCUGCUCUGUCUGGAAGGUUCCAUAAAACUUGAGGUUUAUGGGAAUGAGAAUGGACUGUGCUGGGUUCACCUUUGCUCCAUGCAAUGCAUUACUGUGAGAGUGCUGGUUCAGUUCUGUUGCUCAUCCUCUCCUUGCACCUCUGAGGACUUUACUUGCGUUAAUAAAUACGAUAAUUUUCUUAUGAGGGAGCUGCGUGGAUGCUCAGCCCAAUAUGUUCUCAGUGCGUGGGGGAUCUGAGUACCCAUCUCCCGUGGAAGUCAGUAUGGCUUUGGAAGUCCCACCUUUAAUAUAACAUGAGUCUCAGUGUGUUAAAUAAUGAAAACGGUAAAGUAAGGGAAAACAAGAAAAAAGAAAGCAGCCUCCCGAAAGCAGAAACCAUACCUGGCUUUUGUGCUUUGCAGCCCAGCAGAGGGAGGAAAGCUUGAAUGUGAAUACUGACAUGAUUAUCAGUGCUUGUACGGGGAAAUUAAAGACAUCUCUGUGGUUCCUGCUGCUGCUGGGUUCCGUAUGCAACAGCUACGAGGGCUGUGUUUGGAAAAAGGGUACAUGCAUUAAAAGAACAACAAAGAAGAAAUAGCAAAGCACAGUUAAAAUGAGCAGAAUUCAGCUUGGCGUGGCUACAUGCUAAGUGCAGCAUGCACUUAGGAUUAUGUACCAGUUUCCUUUGCAAAACUACACAGGAAAGGCAUCAAAAUGACCUGUUAUUAUUUUUCUUAUUCCUCCCAUUCCUUUGCGUGCAUAAAGAGCUAUUUCUGUUGUGAAGAUUUCUAUGUGCAAAGCUCCAUGAAUGGGCCCAGGCCUCAAGCAGGGGCCCCGCAGCUGCACCGCCUCCAGCCAGCAGACAGGAACGUCUCUGCACCUCUUUGGGACAAAAGCUCUGCACGAGGAGGGAUGCCUGCAAUUUGUCUCCCCUCCUUAGCAUUAAGAUCGCAGGGUGCUGGGUGUUAGUAACAAGCUGUCUGCUUAUGGAAAGACACUACCAGCAGGACAGGUCAGCUCUGCGUUUAUGAUUAUAAUGGAGCU
ensembl:lncRNA